UGUUUCAUCAGAUGCUCAU
rnacentral:miRNA from 1 species